rnacentral:rRNA from 1 species
CCUACGGGUGGCAGCAGUGAGGAAUAUUGGUCAAUGGUCGUAAGACUGAACCAGCCAAGUAGCGUGAAGGAUGACUGCCCUACGGGUUGUAAACUUCUUUUAUACAGGAAUAAAGUGAGGCACGUGUGCUUUUUUGUAUGUACUUUAUGAAUAAGGAUCGGCUAACUCCGUGCCAGCAGCCGCGGUAAUACGGAGGGUCCGAGCGUUAUCCGGAUUUAUUGGGUUUAAAGGGAGCGUAGAUGGGUUGUUAAGUCAGUUGUGAAAGUUCGCGGCUCAACCGUAAAACUGCAAUGGAUACUGGCAGCCUUGAGUACAGGUGAGGUAGGCGGAAUUCGUGGUGUAGCGGUGAAAUGCUUAGAUAUCACGAAGAACUCCGAUUGCGAAGGCAGCCUACUAAACUGCCACUGACAUUGAUGCUCGAAAGUGUGGGUAUCAAACAGGAUUAGAUACCCGAGUAGUC